UUCCAGUUGAGAAAUAGGUCUGCUGGUGGGAAAAAAAAAAAAUAAUGCUGCAUGUAGAAAUCUUUAAGCUUUCAUCCAUUUCUAGGAAACUGGAAUGGGAGGAGCAACCCUCCUACUCCUGAAGACAUCUGCACUGUGGGGAUAUAGGGAAACUACUGCAGUACAAGCACAGUUUUGGCAAAUUAAAGCUUGUCAGAAUCACAGCAAACUUCCCGUUGAUCUAGGUCCACUUACACUUUCACUACAGUUCUGGGCUUUUUUUCUGAUGUUCUUCUUUGGACGUAUGCUUUAAAAAUAGCUCAAGAACUUGAGGUGCUUCAUUCUCUGCACUGGCUCAGAGUAGCCAAGAUACUUCUUUCUAUGGCCUUCUCCCCCCUCCCGCCUUGUUUUCGACUUAGCUUGGCAAAGCUGGACAAACCCCGGGACAUAAAAAUUCCCUUAACUGAAGCCUGCCUAACAGAUAAACACACUCCAGCUCUGUUAAGAACCAACAGGCCAACUUCUGCUCCUGGUUGUACAGCUGCAAACCCAGAAUUGCUCUGAUUCAUCAGCUCGCUUUGGUGGCGAUGGAGGAUAAUGCAGAGUGCCCAGCCAGGCUGGCACAAACAUCACCUACCUCCUGCGGUUCUCUGUCAGGUAACUGCAAGUUUUUGUGCAAUGACGGGGACAGCAGAGAUUAAAUCUUUGAACAACUCCACACUUGUGUUUGGCAAAUUAAAACAUCAGGUUAGAAUUCAGAGAACCGUGUGUUAUAAUUUUCCCUUUUUAGUAGCACACGAGCAAUGAGAACAUUUAAACACGUUCUGGAAAAACCUGCACUCCGUUGCCCGAGGUACAGUAUUUUCACAGAACAUUGCUAAUCCAACCAACUUCACAAAAACAAGUAAAAUGAGCUUCCUUUGUUACUUGUUACAUUUCUUUUAUUAGACUUCAGCAGCAGAUCUGGGUUCAUUUUUCCUAUCAUUGUUUUAUGCUCACUUUUGUAUUCUGUUGGAUUAUAACAGAUUAAUUUUAGUUUUGUUUCUAGCCACUUUGCAUGCCCUAAUGAAGUAACAAGGCUCCAUUUUAUUUAAAAAUAGAGAAGCCUCAAAAUCUUCCAUAAAUUUUCCAUUCAUGCUACAGUUUCUUAAAAAAAAUAAAUCCUAACAACAUUAAUAUUUGGACUUAGACUAGCUGGCAAAGCAACCUUCUCAGCAAGUGACAACACUUUUUUAGAUAGUCUUCAGCCCAUUUUUUUAACACUCUAUAGCCCUUCAUUGCUUCAAGCCCCCGGUCAUUUAUUCUAGCUAACUAGCUGAAUUCUUGCUCUAACCCCACCAUUGAUUACUCUGACAGAAAAGCCUCCUGCUAUUGCCACUGCUAGACUGGGCUAAACUGGGCCCAGUGGGGGAAGCAGUAGGGUGAAAUGGCUGUAAUUGUUGGCCCAAGGAGAACAGGCAUUGGUUCCCCUCCACCUAAACUCGUGCAAUCCAUCAGUCCUACCUCCUCGCUGCAGGCUAGAGAAAGGACUGCUGUUAUCUGCUGCUUCAUUCAAAUUCUUCCAACUGCAAGCAUGUGGUUGUGCAAGGCACAACAGGGCCACGCCACCGCCCGCUUCUACCCCUGUACAGACAACAAAAACAAUUAGAAACAAAUGCAUUCUUGUGCUGGAUCACUUUAAAACCUACAUGCACUGAUCAUAAGUGUUCCCCCAUGGGCUCAGCUUCAUUUUCUGCAGCACAUACAGCAGGAUACUUUUUCCCAUGGCAAUUGACAUUUCGCACUAGCCUGGUUCCAACGAAAAUCAAUCUGAUUCCUUCCUCAUAACAACAGAGAGUCAUCUUGGAUGACAGAUUUUAGCCACUAAUUUAAUUGAUCAUACUGAUACGGAUUUGGGGAAAUAUUAUUCCAGCAUAGCAACACAAAUCCAAUCAGAAGAGCAGACCCGGAGAAAGGUGAGCGGCUCUCCUAAAAACAUGGUUUUAAAGCAUUCAAGCGCCGUGAGAGUUAUUUUGAUACAGGGCAAGGAAAGAAGAUUGUAAGAAUGAUUCAGUAAGCCUGGAAAACGCAGCAGCCAGGUUCUGCUGCCAUUCCUGAAACAGAUUAGCUCAUUUUCCUGUUAACAGCAGCACUGAAAACUUCUUGCUCUAGGGCAGCAGUGGCAGUAAUUCCCCAGCACUCUGCUCAUGGAUCACUGUCAGCUUUUUGAAUGCACUGUGGGCUACCCCAGUGCCUUAAAACAUUAACCUUUUAAGGCAGCCUGGCUUUGCAGGACGCGGGGAGCACAGCUGAGAACCGCUGCUCUUGAUAACGCGACUUCGACAGAUCCCGCAUGGGCUAAUGACAGGGCUGCCUAAAUCCAAGGUCAAGUUGUUCUGCUGACUACAGCCUUGGAUUUGAUUUCCAGAGCCGGGGCUCGUGGAAGUGUGACAAAUCUGGUACCUCCUCACUCAGAGGUCACUUACGAACCAAACCACUAACUUGUGCUGCAAUGCCUCGGAUCCGCCUCGUCAGCUCCAGCUGGAGUGCCCGUCCUUAGCAGCACCAGCCUUGAGGAAAGCGUCCAGCCUUACCCCGAGCGCUCUCCCGGCGUCGGAUUGCGCAGCGACGAGGAAUUCCUGGCACCGCGGCGCGGUAAAACAGUUCUCCCGUGUCCAGGAUAUAACACCAGAACAGACGAUAAUAAAUAAGCCACUUCAACAGGGCUGUGAAAAAUGAGCCGUGACAGAUCUGUGGCGAAGCAAAUGUCAUCUCGGAGCAGGCUUGUCUGGAUGCCUACAGGAGAGCUCACCAACUGUCUGGCUCCAACUCACAGCCCACUGCUGGCACGGCGCUGUGAGCAUGCUGGUGACUGACUAACCCCUCGCAGCGCUUCUCUACCUACCGAGUGCUCCUUCAAGCUAUUAGCGUCACAGCGUAUCAAACGGGCUGUCACAAACCUGUUUAUCACCCCUUUCCCAAACUCAGGCAGGUAUCCGGCAGCAAAUGCUCGGUAUGGACACGCACACACUCAAACGCUGCCCCUCGGAGUGGCCGGAGCGCCGCAUGUCGGUCAGGGCAGAUAUACAGCCCCUGUGUUGUUGGAAAUCAGCACAGCCACGUGCAGCUCCUUACAUUAAAAGCCUCUCUUCGUGUGGCACUCAAAGAGCUAUUCACAAAAGCUACCUUUCUCUACAGCAGCUCCAGUGGAGAACACGGUGAUCCAGAGGAGAAGCCUGGCUGAACUCUUCAGGUGGCCCUCUGGAGCUCCCUCUCCCUUUAUUCCCCUCUCUCUGGGGAGCCUUUGCAAAUUCCCCCUCCUUUUAUGCUGCCAACACCAAAAGCUUCACUAUGAAUCUCACAGGAUUCGGUGUUUGUCUUGAAGACCCUUUUUCUCAAGUCAUUUAGUGCUCCAGUCAUCUCAGCUCUUACUGAAGAAAACAUGCAUUAGAGCUUUGCUGUGGUGGAGAAAACUAGAAAGUGGAAAGCCUAAAGACUUAAAAAAAGAAAAAGAAAAAAAAAAA